AGUGUUGGCUAAGAUGCAGAAAUCGCUCACACAAUGAUAAGCCAAAGAAGAUCCACCUGUACUUGGUAUGUUGGAAGAAGCUUCGUUGGAGUCUUACAGACCAGUAUGGUGAUGUGGAUACCAAUUACUAGUCCGUCAGUUUACCAGCUGGAUGGCCUCAGUCGAGUUACCUAACCUCUCUCUCGUGUUCAAUUUCAGAAUCUUCAGACUUGUAAUAAAACGUACAUCACCAAGCUUGAAGGUUCAUGGUAGUUUAAAUGAGUUCUGGAGAUCAGAAGUCCAGAAUGGAUCUCACUGGGCCAAAAUCAGGAUGUCGGCAGGUCUGCAUUCCUUCUGGAAGCUUUAGAGGUAAGUACAGUUGUUUGCCUUUUCCAUCUUCUAGAGGCUGCCCACAUUCUUUGUCUGCGACCCUGUCCUUUCCACAAUUACAUCAUUCCAACGAUAUAAACAAUAUAAAAUCAAAAUAUUUAAGAAGAGUAACAAAGAGGUUGGGAGGAGGUAAAUAAUGUUCUAAGGUCUUCUGUACA
rnacentral:lncRNA from 1 species